UACUAUUACAAACUUAUAAGUCUUUUAU
rnacentral:sRNA from 1 species